rnacentral:rRNA from 1 species
CAGGUACAGCGGGAAGCCAUAUGGCGACAUAGAGCGGAACCCGAAAACCUGUCUCAGUUCGGAUUGGAGUCUGCAACCCGACUCCAUGAAGCUGGAUUCGCUAGUAAUCGCGCAUCAGCCACGGCGCGGUGAAUACGUUCCCGGGCCUUGUACACACCGCCCGUCAAGCCAUGGAAGCCGGGAGUGCCUGAAGUGUGCAGCCGCAAGGAGCGCCCUAAGGUAAAACCGGUGACUGGGGCUAAGUCGUAACAAGGUAGC